UUCUGAGGACUUGCAUGUUAUUGAAACACCUAUGCCUAAGGGGCUAAAUGAAGGUUAUGGGUCUUCAGGAUUGGUUCAGGAAAAUGAAUUCUAUGACGCUGUUGUAAAACCACCUCUGACUGGGCUGAUCCAAAGGCAGCGAUAACAAGUCUGAGAGGGUCUGAGCCAGAAAAGUUGCCUCAUUCUACAGAAAGCCUGCAAAGGUAAAAAUUCUCUCUCUCUCAUUCUCUUUCUCUCUCUCUCUCUCUCUUUGACUCAACCGUGUGCUGUCUAUCUUUGCCCUUUUCAAAGGGGGCUGUCAUAAACAGAUAGGUAAGGGUUAAUGUCUCUUUUACCUGUAAAAGGUUAAGAAGCUCAGUAAACCUGGCUGACACCUGACCAGAGGACCAAUCGGGGGACAAGAUACUUUCAAAUCUUGGUGGAGGGAAGUCUUAGUUUGUGCUGUUUGUUUUGUUCAUUGUUCACUCUUGGGGCUAAGAGGGACCAGACAUGCACCCAGCUUUUCUCCAAUCUUUCUAAAUCAGUCUCUCAGGUUUCAAAAUAGUAAGUACUAGCUAGAAAAGGUGGAUUAGUCUUAUGUUCGUUUUCUUAACUUGUAAAUGUGUAUUUUACUGGAAGGAUUUUUACCUCUCUUUGCUGUAACUUUGAAUCACAGGCUGGGGAGGGGAGGAAGACCCUCUAGUCUAUAUGAAUCUGAAUACCCUGUAAGCAUUUACCAUCUUGAUUUUACAGAAAUAAUUUUUACUUUUUCUUACUUUAAUUAAAAGCUUUCUUUUUUUAAGAACCUAAUUAUUUUUUUUCUUAAGUUAAGAUCCAAGGGAUUAGGUCUAAACUCACCAGGGAUUGGUGGGGGGAAAGGGGGAGGGGAAGGUGAAUUCCUCUUUGUUUUAAGAUCCAAGGAGUUUGGAUCAAUGUAGCCUCUCAGGGUAACCCAGAGAGGGGAAAGUCUGGGAGGAGAAAUGAGGGGGAGAUGGUUUAUUUCUCCUUGUUUUAAAACCCAAGGGGUUUGGGUCUUGGGUUACCCAGGGAAGACUUUGGGGGACCAGGAAGUGUGCCAAACACUAUAUUUUUGGCUGGUGGCAGGGUUAUCAGAUUUAAGCUAGGAAUUAAGCUUAGAAGGGUCCAUGCAGAUCCCCACUUUUGGAUGCUAAGGUUCGAAGUGGGGAAAAAAACCUUGACAGGGGCUCUCUUUUUUUUUUAAUCUACACUGGUAUUGAAUAGUUUCAGUGCUUUUUUAUUCACUUUUUUACCCUGUGCUUACCAAAAAGGUUCUGCCUUUGUAAAUUCUCUUUUUAAACCUAGUUUUUAAUCAUUUUAAAUGCUUUUUUCUUAGUACCCCUUUAUGGUUUUGGACCCUGUGCUUACAAAACAGGUUUUGCUUUAGUAAAUUCCCCUUUUAAACCUAGUUUUUAAUGCUUUUUUCUUAAGCUAUAUUGGUAUUCAAUAGUUUCAAUGCCUUAUUAUUCACCUUUUUUACCCUGGGCCUCCCAAACAGGUUUUGCCUUUCCCUUUUUCAACCUAGUUUUCAAUAUUAUUUAACUUUUUUCUUAAACUAGCCCUUCAAAAACAAAUAUUUCCUUUUUUUAAAGUUCUAUCUUUCUAUUCUUUCAUAACCAGCCUCUUUUCUUCAAUAACUUACCUCUCUUCUUUCAAAUUUCCUUUUUUCCUCUAAACCUUACUCAAACUUUCUUUUUUCCUCUUAACACUCUCUCACACUCUUUUUUCAACCUUUUUCUCUCCAUGUACCCAAGCACAAACAUACACAACACUUCCCCUGUCAAACACAUACACACACACAUUUUUUCAAAAUGGACAAGGGCGCCACACUUUUGUGCCAAUGGAAACAGGGGGUGGGAAGGCAGGACAUAAGCCCUAGAAGGGGUGUGGAAAUCUGUCAAAACUGCAUGGUGAUGAAUAUUAUCAAGUCUAUUACUACUAACCUGUGAUAGUGUUUAAAACUUUAAAAGGGAUUAAUUCUUUCUUUUCUUCUGGAAACAUAAAGGUUGGUUUAUAUCUUAAUACCUAAAUUGGUAAUAGUCUGUACUUGUUGUUGAUAAGCAGUAAACUUACCUAUGAAAAGGAAGAUGCAACCUUAGUAUCCUUACAAUACUAAAUUCACUCAUUUACCAAUUAGAUAAACUUAAUACAACGGGGAUAUGAAUAAACUGUCUCAAUUGAGUAAUACCUCUGGUAUAGAUGAAGCUGUGAGACCACUAACAGGACCUUCUUGUAGAACUGGACAUUUCACAGGGUUCUGUGAAUCCUAAUCCUUUUUCAUGACUAUUGCUUGUACCUUUACUUUAAUAUAUUUAUUAAUAACUUUUCCACUAUCCAAUGACUUAAUUUGGAUACAAGCUUCAUAUUCUCCUUUAUUUUCAUUAUUUAGGUUACAUAUGACCAAUGCUCCAUUUUUCUACUGAGCUUUGACAUUUGGUUUUGUUUUUCCAUAAUCUGUAUGGGAUUCAAUUCCUUUUUGGUGAAGAUUUACCUUCCCUUGUAAUAUGAUUUAUAUCCUCCCACCCGGAUUCCUUAAUUAAGGGAGGUUUUUUUUUUUCCAAUUUACAAAAUACAUUUGCUCAUUUGCUUUUAUGCUAUAUUUAAGAACAAGUUUCUUACCUGCAUGCAGGGGUGUAAUCAGGAAGGCCAAAACACAACUGGAGUUGCAGCUAGCAAGGAAUGUGAAGGGUAAUAAGAAGGGUUUCUAUAGGUAUGUUAGCAACAGAGAAAAAGGUCAGGGAACACGUGGGACCCUUUAUGAAUGGGGGAGGCAAAAUAGUGACAGACAAUGUGGAAAAAGCUAAUGUACUCAAUGCUUUUUUUUGCCUUGGUCUUCACAGACCAGGGGAGCUCCCAGACUGCUACUCUGGGCAGCACAGUAUGGGGAGGAGGAGAGCAACCCUCAAUGGUGAAAGAACAGGUUAAGGACUAUUUAGAAAAGCUGGACAUGCACAAGUCCAUGGGGCCAGAUCUAAUACAUCAGAGGAUGCUGAAGGAGUUGGCUGAUGUGACUGCAGAGCCAUUGGCCAUUUUCUUUGAAAAUCUGUGGCGAUUGGGGGAGGUCCUGGAUGAUUGGAAAAAAGGCAAAUAUAGUGCCCAUCUUUUAAAAAGGGAAGAAGGAGAACCCAGGGAACUACAGCAUCACCUCAGUCCCUGGAAAAAUCAUGGAUCAGGUCCUCAAGGAAUCCAUUUUGAAGCAGUUGGAAGAGAGGAAGGUGAUCAGGAACAGUCAAUAUGGAUUCACCAAGGGCAAGUCAUGCCUGACCAACCUGAUUACCUUCUAUGAUGAGAUAACUGGCUCUGUGGAUAUGGGGAAAGCAGUGGAUGUGAUAUAUCUUGACUUUAGCAAAGCUUUUGAUACAAUCUCCCACAAUAUUCUUGCCAAUAAGUUAAAAAGGUAUGGGCUCGAUGAAUGCACUAUAAGAUGUUUAGAAAGAUGGUUAGAUUAUCAGGCUCAGUGGGUAGUGAUCAAUGGCUUGAUGUCUAGUUGGUAGCUAAUAUCAAGUAGAGUGCCAAAGAGGUUGGUCCUGGGGCUGGUUUUGUUUGACAUUAUUAAUGGUCUGGAUGAUGGGAUAGAUUACACCCUCAGCAAGUUUGCAGAUGACACUAAGCUGGGGGGAGAGGUAGAUACACUGGAGGGUAGGGAUAGGGUCCAGAGUGACCUAGACAAACUGGAAGAUUGGGCCAAAAGAAAUCUGAUGAGGUUCAACAAGAACAAGUCCAGAGUCCUGCACUUAGGAUGGAAGAAUCCCAGGCAUUGCUACAUGCUGGGGACCGAGUGGCUAAGCGGCAGUUCUGCAGACAAGAACCUGGGGAUUACAGUGGAUGAGAAGCUGGAUUAAGUUAGCAGUGUGCCCUUGUUACCAAGAAGGUUAAUGGCAUAUUGGGCUGCAUUAAUUGGAGCAUUGCCAGCAGAUCGAAGGAAGUGAUUAUUCCCCUCUAUUCGGCACUGGUGAGGCCACAUCUGGAGCAUUGUAUCCAGUUUUGGUCCCCUCACUACAGAAAGGAUGUGAACAAAUUGGAGAGAGUCCAGCAGAGGGCAACAAAAAUGAUCAGAGGGCUGAGGCACAUGACUUAUGAGGAGAGGCAGAGGCAACUGGGCUUAGACGAGUGAGGGGGAACUUGAUAGCAGCCUUCAGCUACCUGAAGGAGGGUUUCAAAGAGGAUGGAGUUCAGCUGUUCUCAGUGGUGGCAGCAGAUGACAGAACAAGGAGCAAUGAUUUCAAGUUGCAGUGGGGGAGGCAGGGAUGGCGCUUCCAAUUAGGCGACCUAGGCAAUCGCCUAGGGCGCCAGGAUUAUUGGGGGGUAGCAUUUUGCCAGGGGGGUGGCAGGCGGCUCCGGUUGAUCUGCCGUAGGCGUUCCUGUGGACGGUCCUCUGGUCCUGCGGCUCUGGUGGACCUUCUGCAGGCAUGCCUGCGGCAGCUCCACCAGAGCCAUGGGACCAGCAGACCCUCUGCAGGAACGCCUGCGGCAGGUCCACCGGAGCCGCGGGACCAGCGUGCGGGGCGGCGAAAUGGCCGCGCACCUAGGGCGCCAAAAACACUAGCACCAGUCCUGGGGGAAGGUUUAGGCUGGAUAUUAGGAAACACUAUUUCACUAGGAGGGUGGUGAAGCACUGGAAUGGGUUACCUAGGGAGGUGGUGGAAUCUCUAUUCUUAGAGGUUUUUAGGGCCUGAUUUGACAAAGCCCUGGGUGGGAUGAUUUAGUUGGUGUUGUUCCUUCUUUGAGCAGGGGGUUGGACUAGAUGACCUCCUGAGGUCUCUUCCAACCCUAACCUAUGAUUCUAUUACCCUUUUAACCUUUUGAUAAAAUUUGUUAUGAGUGAUUGGAAGAAAUAUUUGACCAAUUUUUUUUUUAAUAAUGCACGUAUCUUCCUUUAAGAUUUUUUUUUUGGGGUGUGUGGGGGGGAACUUUCAGUAGAAUAUCUUUCCACAAUACAAAUUUUCACUUAUCCUUCAAUACUAGAUGUAAUCCCAGUCUAUACAAACCUGAUGUAUGACUCUGCUCCAUAUGUAUUUUCAAAGUUGUACUAUUAAUCCAUGUUGAAAACAGUGUUUUAUCCCAUGACUUAGUUAUAAAUUGUCCUUGUGCUGGUUGAUAAUUCCAUUCAAAGAAAAUUUCAGUUGAAGAGCGUUCAUCUUUCAAUCCUUCAUGUGAUUUUAUUUGUUCUUGUGCCCAGAUCAUUGUUAUCUUUGGAUCUUGAGACUCAAUUGGCAAGUUUGAGUUCAGUUCCAACAUAAAAUCCUGAUUUGUCUUGA